rnacentral:rRNA from 1 species
UAGGUGGCAAGCGUUGUCCGGAUUUAUUGGGCGUAAAGCGAGCGCAGGCGGUUUUUUAGGUCUGAUGUGAAAGCCUUCGGCUUAACCGGAGAAGUGCAUCGGAAACCGGGAGACUUGAGUGCGGAAGAGGACAGUGGAACUCCAUGUGUAGCGGUGAAAUGCGUAGAUAUAUGGAAGAACACCAGUGGCGAAGGCGGCUGUCUGGUCUGCAACUGACGCUGAGGCUCGAAAGCAUGGGUAGCGAACAGGAUUAGAUACCCUGGUAGUCCAUGCCGUAAACGAUGAAUGCUAAGUGUUGGAGGGUUUCCGCCCUUCAGUGCCGCAGCUAACGCAUUAAGCAUUCCGCCUGGGGAGUACGAUCGCAAGAUUGAAACUCAAAGGAAUUGACGGGGGCCCGCACAAGCGGUGGAGCAUGUGGUUUAAUUCGAAGCAACGCGAAGAACCUUACCAGGUCUUGACAUCUUUUGCCAGGCUGAGAGAUCAGCUGUUCCCUUCGGGGACAAAAUGACAGGUGGUGCAUGGUUGUCGUCAGCUCGUGUCAUGAGAUGUUGGGUUAAGUCCCGCAACGAGCGCAACCCUUAUUGUCAGUUGCCAGCAUUUAGUUGGGCACUCUGAUAAGACUGCCGGUGACAAACCGGAGGAAGGUGGGGAUGACGUCAAAUCAUCAUGCCCCUUAUGACCUGGGCUACACACGUGCUACAAUGGGCGGUACAACGAGUCGCGAGACCGCGAGGUCAAGCCAAUCUCUUAAAACCGCUCUCAGUUCGGAUUGCAGGCUGCAACCCGCCUGCAUGAAGUCGGAAUCGCUAGUAAUCGCGGAUCAGCAUGCCGCGGUGAAUACGUUCCCGGGCCUUGUACACACCGCCCGUCACACCAUGAGAGUUUGUAACACCCAAAGCCGGUGGGGUAACCGCAAGGGACCAGCCGUCUAAGGUGGGACAGAUGAUUGGGGUGAAGUCGUAACAAGGUAGCCGUAGGAGAACCUGCGGCUGGAUCACCUCCUUUCUAA